GGAUAUCACUGAUCGGACUUUUUGUACGUCGCGGGCUCAGAGGCCACGACUGCCGCGAGGCAACGAGUUCAGUUUCGACACUUGGCGGCGAGAGGACGAGCGAGGAACGGAGCAUUAUUAAACUAGAGCGAAUCGUCCUCCAUCCGGCUCCUUGAGAUGCUUUCCAGCAUGCGAGAUCGGAGCAAGACAAGCGAGAUCCUCCGCGGCGAUGUGUUAAGAUUUUACUCUGACAAGAAAAGAAUACGAUAAAGAAUAUUGUGUAUACAGGGCGGGCCAAGAAUCAUCUGUUAAGUGGCGAAAUACCUUACUGAUAUUAUUAAGUAGAUUACACGAUUUAUGAAAAGGUUUUUCUAACUGUUUUCCUUCCUCCUUUAGUAAACAUUUUGUACAUGAAUCAACAUGAGUAAAGAGGUGAAUUAAAAACAA